UCGCCCUUAGCUCAAUGGUGGAGCGACCGGCUGUUAACCGGUAGGUUGAAGGUUCGAGUCCUUCAGGGCGAGCCA
rnacentral:tRNA from 2 species